rnacentral:rRNA from 1 species
GAUGAACGCUGGCGGCGUGCCUAAUACAUGCAAGUCGAGCGAACAGACGAGGAGCUUGCUCCUCCGACGUUAGCGGCGGACGGGUGAGUAACACGUAGGUAACCUACCUAUAAGACUGGGAUAACUUCGGGAAACCGGAGCUAAUACCGGAUAAUAUUUCGAACCGCAUGGUUCGAUAGUGAAAGAUGGCUUUGCUAUCACUUAUAGAUGGACCUGCGCCGCAUUAGCUAGUUGGUAAGGUAACGGCUUACCAAGGCAACGAUACGUAGCCGACCUGAGAGGGUGAUCGGCCACACUGGAACUGAGACACGGUCCAGACUCCUACGGGAGGCAGCAGUAGGGAAUCUUCCGCAAUGGGCGAAAGCCUGACGGAGCAACGCCGCGUGAGUGAUGAAGGUCUUCGGAUCGUAAAACUCUGUUAUUAGGGAAGAACAAACGUGUAAGUAACUGUGCACGUCUUGACGGUACCUAAUCAGAAAGCCACGGCUAACUACGUG